CGAACGCUGGCAGCGUGCUUAACACAUGCAAGUCGAACGAGAGGAGCAGGAAGCUUGCUUCUUUCAAAUCUAGUGGCAAACGGGUGAGUAACACGUAAACAACCUGCCUUCAGGAUGGGGACAACAGACGGAAACGACUGCUAAUACCGAAUACGUUCCUUAGGUCGCAUGACUUUAGGAAGAAAGGGUGGCCUCUACUUGUAAGCUAUCGCCUGAAGAGGGGUUUGCGUCUGAUUAGGUAGUUGGUGAGGUAACGGCCCACCAAGCCGACGAUCAGUAGCCGGUCUGAGAGGAUGAACGGCCACACUGGAACUGAGACACGGUCCAGACUCCUACGGGAGGCAGCAGUGGGGAAUCUUCCGCAAUGGGCGAAAGCCUGACGGAGCAACGCCGCGUGAGUGAUGACGGCCUUCGGGUUGUAAAGCUCUGUGAUCGGGGACGAACGGUCAGCAGACGAAUACUCUGCUGAAGUGACGGUACCCGAAUAGCAAGCCACGGCUAACUACGUG
rnacentral:rRNA from 1 species